UUUGUCUGAGGUCAUAAAUCAGUCACUUCACAAUGAGGCUACCCUUACCUCAUGUAGAAAGCCAGUGCUACAGACAACCUUACAUGAUGCACGUUAUGAGGACAAUUUCUCCGAGACUGAUCCUAUCCAGGAGCAGCCCGAGCCUUUGGAAAGUAACAAAUCACAGAAAACCUUACAUGAUGCACGGUAUGAGGACAAUUUCUCUGAGACUGAUCCUAUCCAAGAGCAG